GUUUGAUCCUGGCUCAAGACGAACGCUGGCGGCGUGCUUCACACAUGCAAGUCGAACGGUUCUAGAGGUUAGAGAUUAGAGGUUAGAAGUUGGAAUCUGUAAUCGAAAUUCACAGUGAAUUUCCUUCGAGUCUAACAUCUAAUUUCCAAUCUCUAACUUCUAGGAUAGUGGCGGACGGGUGAGUAACACGUGAGCAACCUGCCCGACAACCCGGGAUAACAGCGGGAAACCGUUGCUAAUACCGGAUACACCAGCAUUAACGCAUGUUAUAACUGGGAAAGGGUUUACCGAUGUCGGAUGGGCUCGCGACCCAUUAGCUUGUUGGUGGGGUAAUGGCCUACCAAGGCUGCGAUGGGUAGCUGGUCUGAGAGGACGAUCAGCCACACUGGAACUGAGACACGGUCCAGACUCCUACGGGAGGCAGCAGUGGGGAAUAUUGCACAAUGGGCGAAAGCCUGAUGCAGCGACGCCGCGUGGAGGAUGAAGGCCUUCGGGUCGUAAACUCCUGUCUGGGGGGAUGAAUUUUUGACAGUACCCCCGGAGGAAGCCCCGGCUAACUACGUGCCAGCAGCCGCGGUAAUACGUAGGGGGCAAGCGUUGUCCGGAAUUACUGGGCGUAAAGCGCGCGUAGGUGGCUUGUUAAGUCAGGUGUCAAAAUGCGGAGCUCAACUCCGCAGCGCACUUGAAACUGGCAGGCUUGAGUGCAGGAGAGGAAAGUGGAAUUCCUAGUGUAGCGGUGAAAUGCGUAGAUAUUAGGAGGAACACCAGUGGCGAAGGCGACUUUCUGGACUGCAACUGACACUGAGGCGCGAAAGCUAGGGGAGCAAACAGGAUUAGAUACCCUGGUAGUCC
rnacentral:rRNA from 1 species